GACGAACGCUGGCGGCGUGCUUAACACAUGCAAGUCGAACGGAAAGGCCCUGCUUUUGUGGGGUGCUCGAGUGGCGAACGGGUGAGUAACACGUGAGUAACCUGCCCUUGACUUUGGGAUAACUUCAGGAAACUGGGGCUAAUACCGGAUAGGAGCUCCUGCUGCAUGGUGGGGGUUGGAAAGUUUCGGCGGUUGGGGAUGGACUCGCGGCUUAUCAGCUUGUUGGUGGGGUAGUGGCUUACCAAGGCUUUGACGGGUAGCCGGCCUGAGAGGGUGACCGGCCACAUUGGGACUGAGAUACGGCCCAGACUCCUACGGGAGGCAGCAGUGGGGAAUAUUGCACAAUGGGCGGAAGCCUGAUGCAGCAACGCCGCGUGCGGGAUGACAGCCUUCGGGUUGUAAACCGCUUUCGCCUGUGACGAAGCGUGAGUGACGGUAAUGGGCAAAGAAGCACCGGCUAACUACGUG
rnacentral:rRNA from 1 species